AUUGAACGCUGGCGGCAGGCCUAACACAUGCAAGUCGAGCGGAGCGCGGGACGGGGGCGUAAGGCUUAGGACUCUGCCUGGUAGUGGGGGAUCACGUCCGGCAACGGGAGCUAAUACCGAAUACUAUCAGAUGAGGCUAGGUCGGAUGAGCUAGUGGGUGGGGUAAAGGCAUACCAAGGCGAAGAUCCGUAACUGGUCUGAGAGGAUGAGCAGCCACACUGGAACUGAGACACUGUCCAGACUCCUACGGGAGGCAGCAGUGGGGAAUAUUGGACAAUGGGCGAAAGCCUGAUCCAGCCAUGCCGCGUGUGUGAAGAAGGUCUUCGGGUUGUAAAGUACUUUAAGUUGGGAGGCGUUACUAACAGAAUAAGCACCGGCUAACUCCGUGCCAGCAGCCACGGUAAUAC
rnacentral:rRNA from 1 species